rnacentral:lncRNA from 1 species
UGAUGCGCUCCGCGGCAGCUGCCCCCGAGUGCGCCACAACGUCACCUUCGGCCAGGCCUACCCGUGGCUUCAAUACACCGGCUCCCGUGACAACCUCACCUUCUUCUUCGGCUGCAAACUCAACCUUCCACCACCAAUCGAUCCAGGGCUGGUUAGUCUUGCAGACAAGCACCAAAUCAACUGCAAAGACUUCAGCAACUGGCCUGACAGUGGAGAUUCGUUCGUGUUCACCUCCGGCGAGCUCGAGGCACCAGUAGAGUCCGAAUUGGCCAGGUGCUGCAGCCAGGUCAUCGUCGUGCCGGUAAAUGGAAGUGUUCUUAAUUCAAGUAACCAGAGUGCGCUGCCAAGUGGUGGAUAUGGUCAAGUGCUUAAGAUGGGGUUCGAUCUGGCCUGGAACUCAAGUAAAGAUGAACAAUGCUACAAGUGCGAGCAAUCAAAGGGGCACUGCUCCUAUAGCCAGAACAGGGCGUUCCUAGGUUGCUUGUGCUCCGACGGGAAGGUGAGCACCAAGGAUUGCAGAAACAACGGUGCCAGCAACUCGUCUGCAUUAAGUAAGUCCUGCAAAUUUGUUUUUUUAGAACUUUGUAACAAUACCAAACCAAUUAUUAGUCACUUAUUUGAAAUCUCAUUCAAACGUCCAAGUGCAUGACACCUCCGCAUUUGCUUAUACUUGGUAGACCCCUAAAAUCUAUAUAUCUUUGCCGUUCACAUUUUUAAUUUGUUUUAGAUAAUAUCUUUGCCGUUCAGAUGUAGUAAUCCAAAAAGAAAAUUAUCCGUACACAAGAAAUGUAAAAUCCGUCUUGAGCAUUAUGUGGACGUCGAUAUGCACCGUGUCUCGACGGAGCAAAAUGGAAGACCGUAGUGCCUUGGCUAGAAGGAAAACUAUUUUAAUCCCUUGAGGGGAUAUCCCCUCGUUGUUUGCAUGUCACUUAAAUAGUUAUGAAAAAAUUGAAAAAAAAAUUAAGAAGAUGUAUUAACAUGUGAUGUAUCACUCUAUAAACAUGCAAGUAAAAAUUCAAUUUAUACAUCUCGUAACAACGAAGGGAUAUUCCCUCGAGAUAUCAAGAUCCACUUCCCUGCCUAGAACCCCGUCUACGAAUACUAAUCUUGCCAUGUAAUGUCAUGUAGUACCUCAUUCAUCUUCCCCGAAACCUGCCAAACAACUGUACCAGCUCUCUGCUUACUAGUAAACGGGCGGGCGGGGCACAAAGCAUCAAGUCAUCGUUCAAAACCAAACUGUUUGUUCAUGCUGACUUCGAUCUCUAGCUAGCCAUGCUUCUCUCGCUGUGUCUCCGGCUGCUGCCGCUCCUCCUCGUCUUGGUUGCCGCUUCCCAUGGCGAUGCUUCCGGCGACACCUACGACACCUCCAUGUGCCUGCAGAAACCAACCACCUGCGGGAACGUCAGUAUCAGCUACCCGUUCUACUUUGCUACGAAGACGAAAGAUAUCAACGGGUCCAGCAACUCAUACUGCGGAUACCCCGGCUUGGCGAUCGAUUGUGACGACGGCAAGCCCAUCCUGCAACUCAACGGCACCGAGAAGUACAAGGUUAACUACAUCAACUACGGGAGCAUCACCAACGUGUCCCUAGCCGAUCUGGAGGUCGUCGACGACAGCAGCGGCUGCCCAAGAGUGGAUCACAACGUGACGAUCCCACAGAUCUCUUGGUUGUUCUUCUCCGGCAUAUCGGUCGAUUACCUCGUCUUCUUUCUCCGCUGCUCCUUCACGACGUUCGCCCCCAAACCGGCAAACUUCAACCCGAUCGCCUGCGGAAGCUUCAUCAAUCUCACUAGACCGUCGUUCGUGUUCCCGGACGAGCUAGUGCCCCCUGGGAACUGGUCGCAGCUUUGUGAGGAAACCUUCGAAGUUCCUGUGCUCAAAUAUCAACUGAUGGAGAUGGACUCAAAUGGCAAUGCAUGGAAUAACAGUGGAUACGCCCAGGUACUUCGUCAGGGAUUCCAGUUGUCAGUGAACGAAAGCAGGAGGCCCCCCAAUUGUAGCCAGUGCGAAGAGUCCCAAGGACGGUGCGGUUACAGCCAAGCCGGGGAAUUCAUCGGCUGCUUGUGCCCAAACGGACGAGUGCGCUCUCUCAGGUGCGAUCCCAGCGACUUAGCCGGUUAGCCAUUCACUUAGUUUUGUUUUUCCCUUUUGGAAUCGCCUGAACUUUUUUGGGCCAGGAUUUAGGUGGACUACCGUCCCCUUUUUAAGGCAAGGGAUUUAUUUUUCAUGAGAAGAGUUUUAUGCAUACUAAUACAGGAUAUAAAUCACAUCCUGCAUCUGAAUGGCUGCAUCAACGCUACAUGCAAAUUUAGCAACCUUUCAUAUCUAGUAUUCUAGUGUGUAUGGGCAUCAGCAUCCCUGGACUCCUGUUCCUCUACCGGGCAUUUGGACCAGGACAUUUAGAAGCCUAGCCGGCUAGCCAAGCCCUUGACAUACUAUGGCAAGUAGUAACAAUUUAUAUGUAGUACAAGUUAUGACAAGUUAUGUUAUCAAUCCUGUAGGCUAAAAACUAUUCAUAUAAAUAUGUCUUGUCAGUACAGUGUAAGCAAAAUCCUGGAAAGAAGUAUAGUGAAAUAAAUGCAAAUAUGCAAUUGUUUAUCAGUAAGUGCAUAUUAAUCUGCUUACACAUGAAUUUCUGUUUUAAUAUUGCAGGGUCAAACUUAAAGAGGAGAAAGAAUCUUUGUAAGAGACUUCUAUAUCUCUAUAUCCUUCUUAUUUGCGUCCCUACAAAUUUACUCUGACAAUGUGUUUAUAAAAUGAUUGCGUCCACAAUGUGGAAAGACAGCAAAAUCUUAUACUAAAUAAGCUCUAAAUCUACCAUGAGAUUUCAAAAUAAAUUCUAUGCACUAACCAUUUAGGAAGCAAUAGGUCUACACCCUCCAUCCCAUAAAGAAACCAACUUCUAAAUUCAAACCCAAAAGUUGGUCUUUUAUGGGACGGAUCAAGGGAGUAUGUCUUUAUGAACUGUACUCUGCAUGCUUUGGUUUGCUAAUAUUUAGCCAAAUCUUUUGUACCCUUAUCAGUAUUCAGGCUAUGCUGUAAUGGAUAAGACUAGAUAUUCCAUUCUGAUGCCUUUCUCUGUCCCAAAUUUUCUACAUGCAAAUAUAAUAGCAGGCACCUCAAGCGUGCUUUUGCUAUGUCUACUUUCCUUUGCGUGUUUGUUCGGUCUCAAGAAGUCUAGGUACAGAAGGAUUUCAAAGGGAACACCAAGGAUUGAGUCCUUCCUACAAAGGAAUGGAACCUUACAUCCAAAGAGAUACACUUACACAGAAGUAAAAAGGAUGACAAAAUCUUUUGCUGAAAAGCUAGGUCAUGGUGGAUUUGGUGCUGUUUACAGAGGCAACCUAUCUGAUGGCCGCCAGGUAGCAGUCAAGAUGUUAAAGGACUCCAAGGGUGACGGCGAAGAAUUCAUCAAUGAGGUUGCUAGUAUUAGUAGAACUUCUCACGUCAACGUGGUGACUCUGUUAGGAUUUUGUUUGCAUGGAUCCAAAAGGGUUCUGAUCUAUGAGUAUAUGCCAAAUGGUUCACUUGAAAGAUAUGCUUUCCGCAAUAACUCUGAAGGCGAACAUUCAUUAACUUGGGAGAAGUUAUUUGAUGUAGUAGUUGGAAUUGCCCGAGGGCUUGAGUAUCUUCACCGUGGGUGCAACACCCGUAUCGUGCAUUUUGAUAUUAAACCCCACAACAUUCUACUUGAUCAAGAAUUCUGCCCUAAGAUCUCAGAUUUUGGAAUGGCUAAGCUUUGUUCUAACAAAGAGAGUAUCAUCUCAAUAGCCGGUGCAAGAGGAACAAUAGGCUAUAUUGCCCCGGAGGUCUAUUCAAAGCAAUUUGGAGCAAUAAGUAGCAAGUCUGAUGUCUAUAGCUAUGGAAUGAUGAUCCUUGAGAUGGUUGGGGCAAGGGAGAGGAACAUAGAUGCCAAUAGUGAAUCUAGUAGCCACUAUUUCCCACAAUGGAUUUACGAACAUCUAGAUGAAUAUUGCAUCAAUUCUUCUGAGAUUGAUGGUGAGACCACAGAGCUUGUAAGAAAGAUGGUAGUGGUUGCACUGUGGUGCAUACAAGUAGUUCCAACUAACCGCCCAACAAUGACUAGAGUCGUUGAAAUGCUAGAAGGUAGCACGAGCGGUCUAGAAUUGCCACCAAAAGUGCUAUUGAGCUGGUAAGCAUCCACAAGUUUUGAUUGAAUGAGCAUUGUUGCUCACUUCUUCUAGUGUUGUACAACUGCAAAUACUAUUUAGCAGUAACAAAAUGUAAGACGAGAUUUGGAAUUUGAAACCAAACUCACUACAAUGUCGACCCUAUUUUGCCCAGUUAUACUCUAGACUGACUGUACGUUACAAAUUCAUCGGUUGGCUAUGGUUUCAAACAGUUCCAAUUUCAAUAAAACGCUGUAUAAAUUAGAAACCGCAACUAAAAUUCCCAUCUGCGCUGCAAUGCGGAACUAUAUGGGUACUUGAACUGUAAACUGGACAUCGCAAUUUCAGAGUCAGAGCUUACCUGAAGUCAGAGUAGUAGUUCAGACUUCAGAUCUUAGAAGUUCACCGUUCGCCGUCGCCCGAACCGGUUCCGGAGUCAAGGCCCGGCGACCGCCGCGACUUGGGGUGCGGCGAGCGCAGAGAAGGCUAGCGCGGCUGGCUGCAUGCCUGCAUACGUAGGGUCGAGGGAGAUGGGUUGGUAUAGGCGUAUAGCGCGGUGAGCUGCAGGCGGAGGAGGAUGCGGCGGCGUGACGAAGGGCGAUGCGAUGCGUUACAUGCGUACGUGUCAGUCGGAUUCUGGUGUUGGACUUCUUCUCUGUUCAUCUCUACUGGGCCUUGGACUUGUAGGAUUGGGAAGGAAUAAGUUCACUUAAGGUCCCCCCAUGAGUUUGAAUUCUAUCCUCAAAACACAAUACCAAUAUAGAGUAACCUGAACUAUUGAAACCAGAUCAUCUUACAUACCUAAGACCAUCCCCAGCAGAUACUCCAUCCAGACAUCCAUCGAGAAAAUAGCAUUUGCGAGAAGAAAAACGCUAGCAGAUACUCCAUCCCACCCUCGAAAUUUACCUGGAUACGAAAACAGAAUCGAAUACUACCGAAUACGAAAAUGAGAAAAGGGCAAGUACAAAUCAAAUAUUUAUCGGAAUAUAAAAAUCCCUCAAACUGAAUUUCUCAAAUCAACGAAGAGAUUUAUUGCUCCUUGUUUUUUCUAUAAUAAUAAAAUCAACAUUUCUAGUUCUUAUCAAUUUUAAUAAUAAUAUAACUAGUUGUACGCCGCACUUACUAGGAGAAUAAAAAACUAUAUUUAUCUAUAACUAUAAUUAGUAUAUCAUAAAAAUAGUAAUUAGGCAAAAGAAAAACAUAUCUAAAGCAUUAUACUUAAAAAAAAUACCUUCAUUCAACUAACCACCUCAAUACUCAUUAGAAAUCUAAACAUCGAUUAGAGAAGGCUAAAGCUAAUUAGCUGUAUAUGGAAAGUUUAUGUUUCCGGAAAGUUUUUGAUUAGUUUCCAGUUUUUGGUAGAUAGCAGCCUUACUGUAUUCGUUUUUGUUUCCGAUAGAAAGAAAAUUUAAAAUUCAUUUCGUUUUUGAAAUUUUCAAAAAAGUUCCGACAGACACUUUCCAUUUCGAAAACACAUCCGAAAACGGAAACUUCUCGAACUUUUUUCUCCUCCCUACUAGUAAAACUUGUUUUAUGUUUUUUAGGGUUUUUGUUUUAACGCCUGAUUUUCAUCACGCUACCAAAUAAGAAUAAGUUUCUCAGCCGACUACUUGUUUUAAAUUAUUUUUUAUCAAUCCAAUAGCCUAUUUGUACAAUAGUAGUCAAUCGGCCCAUUAGAGCAGUAUGUCUGUAGGUUUGCUCGUGCUCCGAGCGACGGGAAAGCAGCUGGCUGGCCGGCCAGGAUUGCAUAAACAGUGUUUCCAGCAUCGUGGGUCUCUGCAUACCUGCAAAAUUGAUGUUUUCUGGAAUACUAGUCGCUCUUUUUUUUAUCGAAACCAAAGCUAAGCUAAGCUGAUAUUGUAUUAAGAAAGGGAGAAAGUAUUUACAAGUUCACCAAAAUGGUGAUGGAAACGGAAGGAGAAGGGGAAGAAGAAAACAGAAACAAAAACACGUUAACAUAGAAACUUAAGCAGAUAUUCUCAAGAUGUUUUUUUUCUCCACACAUGCUCCAUAGCUUGAUCUCAUUCUUUAUUUUGGUCAAUAGUUGCGACAUGGUUUUCUCUUUAUUCCCAAACACUUAUUUCAUUCACACAAUAUUUUCCAUGUCACCAGCAAGUGGAUUGAUUUAAGUGCUUUAGCUUUAUUUUUCCCUUCUCGAGAUGUUCCUCUGAUCCACCAUUCCAGCAAUAAUUUAUUUUCAUCGUGUGAAUGGUUUAUUUCGCUGCAGUUCAGUCUACUCAAAACACUCUCCUAGAUUUGAUGCACAAAAGUGCAAUCUUUGAGAAGUGUUGAGCGGUUUCUAGGUUCUUGUAGCAUAGUUGACAAAAAUAGUUAUUUGGUCAUUGUCUGAUAGGUAGCCGGUCCGUUGUCCAAAUCCUGUUAUGCAACAAGAGACAUGCAAAGUUUUUGCAUUUGGAAGGUGUCUAUUACUUCCAAAUUAGUUUUGUUGCAGCUAAGGUUAUCCUUCCAUUAAACUGUGCUAUGUAGGUUGACCUCGGACUGUAUUCAUCACCAAGUUAUGGUAUCAUUGACACCUUCUGCGAGGACGAUGUCGUUGUUCCAUACCUGGUAGACAACCUCAAAGAAUUCCUUGACAAGCUCGACUGUGAGGUUGUGCCUAAUAUCUGCUAUUGUUGACAAAAAAUCGAACACACCGGCCUGGGAGAUCUGCUUAACUCCUGUGCAGGUCCAAAGAUUAUUGAGAUGCGGGCGUGCCAGUCAGUUUGAUCCUGCAACUGAUAAGACAUACAAACAACAGAUCAAACAGCCGAUCGGCUGGCAAGCCGAUGGAGUAGUUCCAGCCGAUAGCCGAUAAUAGCCGAUGUCGAUACCAGCCGAUAGCGAUAGGGUUUAAGCAAUCGGCUAUAUGUCCAAUGUAGAUAAUGAUAUAAAGGCAAUCGGCUGAUGAUGAUGCAAUAUAGCAAUAUAAUCCAGUAGAAACCAAUCGGCUAACAAUAAUAUGAUAGAAUAAACACUGAUCCGAAGGUUAAAGCAUACAUCGGCUGGAGGUCCGAUGUCGUUAAAUCCACAGGAUUAGAUAAACAGUAAAAUCUAUGUUGCGAUCGGCUAAAUCCAAUACGUAUGCAAUCCUUGUAAGCCGAUGCAACGUCCAGAUAACUCAUCAGCUGAAACCCCGAUGAAACACUAUUGGCAAUCAAGAAGCAGGCUAGAGAUUAUGGUUCUAAGCACGACUUAGUAGAUCAAACUUAAUUGAUGCAGCACUAAGUAUGAAAAGAAACAUAAUAUCUAGACAAUCAAGCCGUUGACUGAGUUUUCAGGGUGGUAGAUGCCUAAGCUAAUCUAAUCUAGCAACGCGAUUUAGCCGAUACCAGCAGAAACCCUAAAACGAGAAGCAGUCGAUAGAGCUAAAUUGAUAUGCUAAGACUAGAUUAACAGAGACAUAUGAUAAAUAGGUAGACAAAUAUAUCAUCCAAACCAGAGCAAUCCAAGAAGUUGAAUGUACUGAUGCAGCCUUGAACGACGCCGAUGUAGACGAUACAAUUGCAUGGACCGGCAGAACAUUGGACUUACCCCUUAGCCGGAGAUCGAACACCGAUGCAGCCCCGCGUCAGGUGCCAAGUCCCGCCGGACAAUAAAAUAAAGUAGAAAAGGUAAAAGGUGGCAAUGCGCCGAAUUGUAUUGAUCGUGAAGAAGAUUACAUAGACCCCGGGUGUACAUAUUUAUACCCAUGGGUUGAUACAAGUCCUUGUCGGACACUAAACACACUUUCCUAAAGAUAAAAGGAAACUAACAAACUAUUCCUAAUUAAUAGAUAACUUGCCAUGCUGCAUCCUCCUUAAACUCGGUCAUUUCUGGAUAAGCUUCCUUUAAUAGAUUAAUUUCCUUAACUGAAUAUAGCAGGAAUCCGACUAUUGGCGACUUGAUAAUUCUCAUCGGCCGAUUCCAGGACUCUGAAGCCGAUACUGACUUUAGGCCGAUGAUAACUUCGGGCUUACCAAAUUUGGUCAUUAACAGUUAUACAUUGGUCAUUUUUCUAAUCCUUAUUGAACUAACAUUCCUUUCCUUUUGGCAUGUUUAUAUAAGGCCAGAGCUAAUUCCUUGAGUGCUUGUCCGCCCAUCCAAUUCGAUUUCUAGAAGCUCGCUUUGCGUCCAUAUCUUAUUGACACCUUAGUUGCUAAAGCAAACAAUUUUUUAUCCAUCUCAUCGCAAAGGAGGUGGUGUCCCUGCCCAAGGCUUAUCUGGGCUCUCCCAACUAAACCAUAGCCAUCACAUUCUCAAUCCUCGUGCAAAUUUAUCCAAAUCCAACACUUCCAAUCCCUCGUACUUGGUGGGUGAGCAAACCGUUAGCCAAUUUACUUUGCAUUUGUUCUCAGUGAUCUCUUGAUCGCCAGUUCAGAGAAGUUUUUUUCUUAUUUUGUCCAUGCCAUGUAGGAAAAAUUUUGGGUGGCUUUAGGACUGUGAGGAAGUAUGUUGGACAGGCCAUAGGUCUAUAGGUGAAUUUAAACAAGACUGAAAAAUUUUAGAGAACUUAGUAUACAUAUCUAGCUAAGAACGUUCCCCUUAAAAAGGUUAGAAAAACUUCAACACGGAUUUUUUUUUCUUCGGGCCAAAAUUUUAAAUGAAGUCCUAAAGAUUUAUUUUUUGUCACACAGCCUUCAUUCAAACUCCAAUUUAAUUGGAACUAAAAAUUUUAAAAGUACAAAAUAAACAGCAUGCAUGAAUGUAGGUCCAAAAUGUACAUGAUCCCGAACAGCAAUCAAGUAGGGGGAUAGUCCAAGUAAAUUUGUGUGGAGCCAAGCGAGCAAGGAAAGAGCCUUGUCUGAGACUCUCUGAUUUGUCCCGCCCGCUUGACCAAGACCUCUAGGCUCUAGUGAUGUUCCACGCCCUCUGGUCGUUUUCAGCAAUUCGUUCACUUGAUUCCCGCACAAUCUCGGCGAGAAACAGUAUUCUACAGUCUGCACUCCGCCUCCACACAAGCCAUGCCUCCUCUGCUCCUCCUCCUCCCCGUCGUGCUCGCCCUCUUCGCCGCGGCCGAUGCCUCCCCCUCCGCCUGCCGCAACGCCACCUGCGGCGACGUGCCCGUCGCCUACCCGUUCUGGCUGAUCGACAACUCAUCCGCCUUGGGCUGUGGCUACCCCGGCCUUGGCCUCCGCUGCGUGGACAACACCACUCUGAUUCUCCCCUUCCGGACACACCAGUACAGGGUCCUGGACAUCGAGUACGGGAAGCACACCAUCUCCCUCACCGACGCCGACAUGCAACACUCCGACACAAACAACAGCUGCCCGCACCUACACGCCAACCUCACCAUCGACGACAACUCCUGGCUGCAGCUCGCGUCCUCUGACUCCAACAUCACCUUCCUCUACAACUGCAAGAGCAACUCCUCCUUGCUGUCCUCGACCUCCGUUGUGAAGCUAACUGGAUGUGGAGCUGGACCAGAGCACAUCGGUAGUUCGUACGUGUUCCUGGAUGGCUGGAUCACGGGUGAAGCGUACGAUUACGAGUGCGAGACGGUGGUGGUGGCGCCGGUGAUCGAUGCGCACAAGAAGGCCAUGGUGGAUGCGCACGGGGGUCUUCCUCCCGCGGACGGAUCAUUUGGCGAUGUGCUGAGCGCUGGGUUCGAGCUGACAUACAGCGCUCACUCCGACAAGUGCGGCAAAUGCGAGCGAACCAAGGGGUGGUGCGGCUACCGGCACAACGAGACGUCCACCACCAUGGAUUUCACCUGUUUCUGCGACGAAGGCCCGACCAAGAGCCAUUGCGGUACGCAUGCCUCUUCUCCUCUUACAAUGUCAUUACUUCUCUUCGGUGUUUUGCUUGCUUCGGAUUUCAGAAUUGGGGCCGUGGAUAUCGAAUUCGAAUUACUAGUAGAAAGACUAAAAAUGAUCAAUAAACCAAUACGAAUAAUCAACUUCUCCAAGCAGUUGAUUAGAGUAUACUUAGAGGAUCAAUUGCUAUAUCCUUUCUUUUUUUUCUUUAUUAAUAACUCCUACCUGCCGGCGGCGAGAAUCCUCUUGACAAACAGAGUAGUUUAUCAAAAAAAAAAAAACUGCAGUGGCACUACCUGACCAUCCUGAGUAGAUGAGCAAUCCAAUGUGUACCUGUGUUGUCUGUUGAUCAUGACCGUCCUCGAUGGUACCAGUUCGUGUGCCGUUCGACGGUGAUAUCUAAUCCCCAACGGCGAAAUGCACUCGUGCUCAGUUCUAUAUAUAAAAAAAAGGAUCUUCUGGAGGGCGACAUAUACAAAUAUCGGAUUUAACUAAGCAAUCUAGGCUAAUUUACUGAUUAGCAUUGAAGUCAAGCUAAAAACCAUACACGGCAGCGUGUCCGGUCCGUGACACCGUGGAUCCAGUGGAUCGGCACACACCGCAAGACGCACGCAGAGACCGAGUUGUUUCCUUCUUCCGAUCACCUGCCUCUCGUGUGGCCCACUUCCGGACCCCACGGACCAACCAAAACCUUUUGCAAAACCAGGUCAAGUCCACUCCUCGCAUUCUUUGCUCCAUGACGACGACUCGUCUUAUACCGCGGGCUCAGUGGCUCACCGAACCAAAUUGGUGCCCAGGAUUAAAAGCCGGCGAAGUAGCAAGAUGCGCCUGCUUUGCCUGGCCGCCAUGGCUCACCUACCGCUUUUGCUCCUCUCCUUCCUCGUCCUCAUCGGCGUCCAUGCCUCCGUUUCCCAUGGCUCGCCGCCUCUUCCAUCCACUUACGACCCUUCCAUUUGCUCCAAGUCAUCAGAGUGCGGAGGCGUCAAUAUCUCCUAUCCUUUCUAUCUUUCCAACGCCACCGAUUAUUACACUCGAUUUUCUUGCGGCUACACCGAUUUGAAGAUCUCUUGCAGCCGGGACCGGGACGGGAGGAACGAGACUCCCACCAUCCUACUCGGUGGAGACAACUACACCGUCCUGGACAUCAUCUACGACAGUCACACCAUCGUGCUCGCGGACACCGAUGCGCUCCGCGGCGGCAGCUGCCCCAGAGUGCGCCACAACAUCACCUUCGCCCAGGCCGAUGAGUGGCUUCAGUACACCGGCCCCCGUGACAACCUCACCUUCUUCUUCGGCUGCAAACUCAACCUUCCACCACCAAUCGAUCCAGGGCUGGUUAGUCUUGCAGACAAGCACCAAAUCAACUGCAAAGACUUCAGCAACUGGCCUGACAGUGGAGAUUCGUUCGUGUUCACCUCCGCCGAGCUCGAGGCACCAGUAGAGUCCGAAUUGGCCAGGCGCUGCAGACAGGUCAUCGUCGUGCCGGUAAAUGGGGAUAUUCUUAACUCGAGUAACCAGAGUGCGCUGCCAAGUGGUGGAUACGGUCAAGUGCUUAAUAAGGGGUUCGACCUGGCAUGGAACUCAAGAAAAGAUGAACAAUGCUACCAGUGCGAGCAAUCCCAGGGGCACUGCUCCUACAGCCAGAACAGGGUGUUCCUAGAUUGCUUGUGCUCCGACGGGAAGGUGGGCAACCAGGAUUGCAGAAACAGCGGUGCCAGCAACUCGUCUACAUUAAGUAAGUCCUGCAAAUUUGACUUUUUAGAACUUUGUAACAAUAUCAAACCAACUAGUAGUCACUUAGUAGUCACUUAUUUGAAGUAUCAUCCAAACGUCCAAGUGCAUGACACCUCCGUCAUUUUGUUUAUACUCGGUAGACCCCUAAAAUCUAUAUAUCUUUGCCGUUCAGAUGUAAUCCAAAAUGGAAAUUAUCCCGUACAAAAGAAUUGUAAAAUCCGUCUUGAGCAUUAUGUGGACGUCGAUACGCACCGUGUCUCAACGGAGCAAAAUGGAAGAUCGUAGCCUUUCAAUUAAAGGUAGUCGUGCCCAUCAUAUUUUGAAACGGAGGAAAUACUACAUUCGUUUUAUAAAAUAUAAAGGUUCGGGGAUAGUAUUUACUCCAUCUAUCGAAAAAAAUAUAUUAAAAAUCACUUUUACGGUUGUAUCUUACUCCCUCCGUCGCAUAAUAUAAAUGAUUUUGCAGGAAUGUGACGCAUUUUAUUACUACAAAUCUAAAUAUCUCUGUCUAGAUUUAGUACUAGGAUGCGUCACAUCCCUCUAAAAUCAGAUGUCCAGAUUCAUAAUACUAGGAUGUGUCACAUCUCUUCAAAAUCUCUUAUAUUACUCCCUUUUUUCAAAAAUAUAAGUAUUUUUAGUAUAGUGACAAGUCAAACAUUUUUAACUUUUGACCAGUAAUAGCAAAAAGAUAAAAAAGAUCAAUCAUGUAAAAUUAAUCUUACUAGAUUUAUCAUUAAACAAACUAUCAUAAUAUGUAAUUCUUUUUAUUUAAAACAUCCUAUUUUUAUAGAAAUUGUUGGUUAAAGUAGCAUCUCGUAGACUGUGUCAGAGUAAAAAAAAAUGUUUAUAUUUUGGGACGGAGAGAGUAUGUGACAGAGGGAGAAAGGGUAUGUUUAAUUCCACGCUAAAAUUAGAAGUUUGAAAAAAUUAGAAUGAUGUGACGGAAAAGUUGAAAGUUUGUGUGUGUAGGAAAGUUUAAUGUGAUAAAAAAGUUAAAAGUUUAAAGAAAAAAGUUGGAAACUAAACAAGGCCCAACUCCUUUUGAACUAAGGGAGUAGUUGGGUGAGGUUAGGAAGUUGGGAUUAAAGAAAUCAGAUCAGGUCUAAAAUUUCCUGUCAUGUUCAACGCUGCUAGUAGUCUAGUCAGUCAAUUGCUGUACUCCGAAAUUGACUACUAGCACCGUGUACUGAAGUCGCUAAUGCCGGUCAAAUCAACUACAUCUCAGCAAAAACCAAACUCGUUGUACGGAUAUAUAGAGCAAACGAACAGAGUUUGCUCCUCUUCACGUCGUCUCGCCAUGGCUCGCCUACCAAGUUUGCUCCUCUUCUUUAUCCUCGGCGUCCAUGCCUCCGUUUCCCAUGGCUCGCCGCCUCUUCCAUCCACUUACGACCCUUCCAUUUGCUCCAAGUCAUCAGAGUGCGGAGGCGUCAAUAUCUCCUAUCCUUUCUAUCUUUCCAACGCCACCGAUUAUUACACUCGAUUUUCUUGCGGCUACACCGAUUUGAAGAUCUCUUGCAGCCGGGACCGGGACGGGAGGAACGAGACUCCCACCAUCCUACUCGGUGGAGACAACUACACCAUCCUGGACAUCAUCUACGACAGUCACACCAUCGUGCUCGUGGACACCGAUGCGCUCCGCGGCGGCAGCUGCCCCAGAGUGGGCCACAACGUCACCUUCGGCCAGGCCUAUGAGUGGCUUUAAUACACCGGCUCCCCUGACAACCUCACCUUCUUCUUCGGCUGCAAACUCAACCUUGCACCACCAAUCGAUCCAGGGCUGGUUAGUGUUGCAGACCAGUACCAAAUCAACUGCAAAACCUUCAGCAACGCUCCUAACGGUGGAGAUUCGUUCGUGUUCACCUCCGGCGAGCUCGAGGCACGAGCACGAGUAGAGUCCGAAUUGGCCAGGCGCUGCAGCCAGGUCAUCGUCGUGCCGGUAAAUGGAAGUAUUCUUAAUUC